CACUCCGUAGCUCAGCUGGUUAGAGCACCAAACUUUUAAUUUGGGGGUCCUGGGUUCAAAUCCCAGCGGAGUGA
rnacentral:tRNA from 1 species